rnacentral:rRNA from 1 species
AUAGGUGGGAGGCUUUGAAGUGUGGACGCCAGUCUGCAUGGAGCCGACCUUGAAAUACCACCCUUUAAUGUUUGAUGUUCUAACGUGGACCCGUGAUCCGGGUUGCGGACAGUGUCUGGUGGGUAGUUUGACUGGGGCGGUCUCCUCCUAAAGAGUAACGGAGGAGCACGAAGGUUGGCUAAUCCUGGUCGGACAUCAGGAGGUUAGUGCAAUGGCAUAAGCCAGCUUGACUGCGAGCGUGACGGCGCGAGCAGGUGCGAAAGCAGGUCAUAGUGAUCCGGUGGUUCUGAAUGGAAGGGCCAUCGCUCAACGGAUAAAAGGUACUCCGGGGAUAACAGGCUGAUACCGCCCAAGAGUUCAUAUCGACGGCGGUGUUUGGCACCUCGAUGUCGGCUCAUCACAUCCUGGGGCUGAAGUAGGUCCCAAGGGUAUGGCUGUUCGCCAUUUAAAGUGGUACGCGAGCUGGGUUUAGAACGUCGUGAGACAGUUCGGUCCCUAUCUGCCGUGGGCGCUGGAGAACUGAGGGGGGCUGCUCCUAGUACGAGAGGACCGGAGUGGACGCAUCACUGGUGUUCGGGUUGUCAUGCCAAUGGCACUGCCCGGUAGCUAAAUGCGGAAGAGAUAAGUGCUGAAAGCAUCUAAGCACGAAACUUGCCCCGAGAUGAGUUCUCCCUGACCCUUUAAGGGUCCUGAAGGAACGUUGAAGACGACGACGUUGAUAGGCCGGGUGUGUAAGCGCAGCGAUGCGUUGAGCUAACCGGUACUAAUGAACCGUGAGGCUUAACCUU